rnacentral:rRNA from 1 species
GAUGAACGCUGGCGGCGUGCCUAAUACAUGCAAGUCGAGCGAACAGACGAGGAGCUUGCUCCUCUGACGUUAGCGGCGGACGGGUGAGUAACACGUGGAUAACCUACCUAUAAGACUGGGAUAACUUCGGGAGACCGGAGCUAAUACCGGAUAAUAUAUUGAACCGCAUGGUUCAAUAGUGAAAGACGGUUUUGCUGUCACUUAUAGAUGGAUCCGCGCCGCAUUAGCUAGUUGGUAAGGUAACGGCUUACCAAGGCAACGAUGCGUAGCCGACCUGAGAGGGUGAUCGCCCACACUGGAACGGGAACACGGUCCAGACUCCAACGGAGGGAGGCGGAGGGAAAUCUUCGGCAAGGGGCGAAGCCCGGACGAGGCAAGGCGGCGGAGGGAAGAAAGUUCUUCGAAUCUAAAAACUCGUUAAUAAGGAAAAAAAAAUGUGGAAAUUAACAAGGCAGGUCUGAACGGUACCUAAUCAAAAGGCCACGGCUAACUACGUG